AUAAGGGAGUUAAGUCUAACACAAUUACUUACAAUGCCCUGAAGAUAGUUAUUGUAAGAAUGGUACGAUGAAAGAAGGUUUGAGAUGGAUACUAAGGGAGUUAAAGUAACACAAUUACUUACAAUGCCCUGCAGAUGGUUAUUGUAAGAAAGGUACGAUGAGAGAAGGUUUAAGGAUUGUCAUGAUGUCCCAAAUGUCUAUACAUACACCUUUUAUAUUACAUCGGGAAUGCAUAUCAGGAAAAGUAGAUGCUACUUUGAAGCUUUUCGAGAUUAUUACAUAGUUUAAAUUGCUCCAGUAAGUCCAAAGUUCAGGCCAUCUUUUUGAAGUUCUUGACUAAUCAGGAUAUAGUGCAUAUACUAGAUUGUGUUGGCUACAUUGCUCUAGGAUGAUCCCUCUAUCUAUUGAUACAUCACUCCAAGGAAUUAUUACAUGUUUGCAGAGUUUAGAACUCUGUUUCAUCUGUCAAAUAUUGAAGCACCAGAUAACUAUACUAUUUGUAUCUUUUUUCAUAUUGUUUGAUUGAUGUACAUUGAGCAAAUCUAAAUCUAUAUCUCCUCUCAAAAAUUUGUAUUACAGAUAAACUGAGUGAUCAUGAAUGUUUAUGAUUUUGAUAGUACCUUCAAAGACAUUUUUUGGCACUCAUAUAAGGACCAUUUUAGCUGGAUGUGCUCGAUCAUCAGUGGAGUACUAUGAAGUUCUCCUUCUGCAUUCCUCAUUUUCCUUACAGAGACUCUGGUCACCAACUUUCCUCUUUUUCUGAAUUUGUGAAGACAAUUGGUAUCAGCCUGAUGAUACACUUAACUUUUUCAGAUUGAGUAUAGAGAGAAGAUUCAAUUACAGUUGAGUGGAACGGCGAGUUGUAAGAGAUUGUUGAAAGAGAAGUGUUGAUGAAGAUGCUGAGCUAUGAAAACGUUGACAAGGUGAAGACAAUGUUGAAAGAACUGAAGAGGAAGUAGAGCAUGACAAUACUGCAUUUAUGCUCAGUUCCUUCGUGAACGAAGUUUAGAAUUAACAAGGGUUUGUAAAACGAAAGGAAUGUAUAACUGGGGUGCAGCCUCACUAUUUUGUUUGGGAAUGUAUUAAACAUUGUUGUAUAUUUUGGAAAUUCUUAUGCUUUUUUUUAGGAAUAUUAUGUGAUGUGAAAUAA